rnacentral:snoRNA from 1 species
UUCAUCAGGUGAUGAAAUCUGGAAAUAAAUCUUAGGACACCUUCCUACACAGCUAGAAAGCUCUAGCUGUGGAUGAGAAAGACAUUUCUACUCUGAUGAUGAA